rnacentral:rRNA from 1 species
CCUACGGGUGGCUGCAGUGGGGAAUUUUGGACAAUGGGCGCAAGCCUGAUCCAGCUAUUCCGCGUGUGGGAAGAUGGCCUUCGGGUUGUAAACCACUUUUGUAGAGAACGAAAAGUCUAUUGAUAAUACCGAUCGAUGAUGACGGUACUCUAAGAAUAAGCACCGGCCAACUAAGGGCCAGCAGCCGCGGUAAUACGUCGGGUGUGAGCGUUAAUCGGAAUUAUUGGGCGUAAAGGGUGUGCAGGCGGUUUUUCACGAUGGAUGGGAAAGCCCCGGGCUUAAGCAGGGAAGUGCCUUUGAGACUGGCAAGCUGGAGUGUGUAAGAGGAGAGUGGAAGUCCAGGUGUAGGGGUGAAAUCCGUAGAGAUCUGGAAGAACAUCAGUGGCGAAGGCGACUAUCUGGCACGUGACUGACGCUGAGGAGCGAAAGCGUGGGUAGCAAACAGGAUUAGAUACCCCAGUAGUC